AAAUUUUUAUAUACUGAUAAUUUAGCCAAAAAAUUCUCUUUUUUCGGGAAACGCGACAACAAAGAACCAUUUUCUGAGUAUUUAUUAAAAACAGCAGUUAUAAAUGCUGUGAAUAUCUGUCAUUCAGAUGCAACUGACCGUUGUGUAGAGGAUAUAUUGAAAGUAUGGUUAAAACAUGCACCACAGC